rnacentral:pre_miRNA from 1 species
AUAACAAGAUUUGGACCGUCGGUCUACCGAGCAAUAUCACCCGCUCGGUGGAAGAUCUUCCCUUUGUCGUUAAGC